AUGACCUUUGCAGGGGUCUUUCUCCAAAAGUCAGUUUCCCAUUCUGCCAAAUUUCCCUUUCUCUCUCUAGAAAACAGAAAACCNUUUUUGCCCUAAAACAUUUUCUCUGCCUUCUCUCUAAAUUCCCAGCAAAUUUAACCUUUCAAUCUUUGAAUAGGUGGUGCUCAAAUGUUCACCGCGUCGAAAGCUCCGUAACGGACUGAACAAUUUCUUGUUUCUACCGGGUGUCUUUAAAAUUGGCUGUGAGGAGCACUGUUUAGGGCGUCCCUGUCAAGUAAACUGUGAAGUUUUCUAGAUAUGGUUGAGGAGGUCCUCUUGGAGCAAGUACUGGAGGACGCUGAUGCUGCUGCUUAGCUCUCUUUAAGAUUUCAUUUAUUUAGCUUAUGUUAUUUUGAAAUACUUAUUAGAUUAUUUUGAAAUACUUUACAAUUAUUAAAGUUUUAAACUAGGCCAUUAUGGA